GAUGAACGCUGGCGGCGUGCCUAAUACAUGCAAGUAGAGCGCUCGGGGGGGAGCUUGCUUCCCUUGAUGAUUUGCGCAGGGGUGAGUAAAGCGUGGGUAAAAUGCCUGGUAGAGGGGGAGAACUCUUGGGAAAGCUAGCUCAUACAGCAUAAUAGUAGAUGAUCCAUGACAUUUACUUAAAAAAUACAAUUGCAUCACUACCAGUUGAACGUGCGGUGUUUUAGUUGCUUGGUGGGGUAACGGCUCACCAAGGCGACGAUACUUCGCCGGCCAUAGAGGGGGGUCGGCCACACUGGGACUUGGGCACCGCCCAAACUCCCACGGGGAGCAGCAGUAGGGGAUCUUCGGCAAUGGACGGAAGUCUGACCGAGCAACGCCGCGUGAGUGAAGGAGGGUUUCCGAUCGUAAAGCUCUUGUUUUAGGGAAGAACGAGUGUGGUAGUUGACAGUGCACACUGUGACGGUAUCUUACCAGAAAGGGACGGCUAACUACGUG
rnacentral:rRNA from 1 species